CCCCUGACGAUUGCUGAUUUUCAGGUUUGGGAUGAACUUGUUACUAAGCUUGUCGAUCAGGAGCUCACUCAUGGGAGAGAUGAGGUGGUAUGGGUACUGGACAUAUCUAAAACUUUCACUACUCAGUCUUUGUAUAGGUUUAUGACUGAUGGAGGGAUUAGAAAAGAUAUAUAUAAAAAUAUUUGGAAGUCCAAGGUGCCCUUGCGGAUUAAAGUUUUUUUGUGGCAAUUAUGUAACCGGAAAAUUCAGGCAAGCGUGGUGCUUAAAAGAAAAGGUUGGAAGGGUAGUGAUCGUUGUGCUUUAUGUCAAAAGCAAGAAACUGUGGAUCAUAUAUUCUUUCAGUGCUCCUUGGCAUAUUUUGUGUGGAGUUGUUUGAGGCAGGUAUUUGGAAGGAACAAUAUUCCCAGCUCAGUGGAAGAGAUGUUCUGUUGCAGGAGUGAAGUGAAACCUAAGUGGACUUCUCUUUUUCGUUUAUUUCUGCUUGCAGGCAUGGUUUGGGCCUUAUGGCGUAAUAGAAAUAAAAUGGUGUUCGAGAGAGAGUUCCCCUGCAGCCCUUUUGU
rnacentral:misc_RNA from 1 species